AACGAACGCUGGCGGCAUGCCUAACACAUGCAAGUCGAACGAGAUCUUCGGGUCUAGAGGCUCACGGGUGCGUAACGCGUGGGAAUCUGCCCAUUGGUUCGGAAUAACAGUUGGAAACGACUGCUAAUACCGGAUGAUGACGAAAGUCCAAAGUUUUAUCGCCAGAGGAUGAGCCCGCGUAGGAUUGGCUAUUUGGUGUGGUAAAGGCGCACCAAGGCGACGAUCCUUAGCUGGUCCGAGAGGAUGCUCAGCCACGCAGGGACUGAGACGCGGGCCAGGCGCCUACGGGAUGCAGCAGGGGGGAAUGGUGGACGAUGGGCGCACGCCUGACCCAGCAGUGCCGCGUGAGUGAUACAGGGCUUAGGGUUGUAAAGCUCUUUUGCCCGGGAUGAUAAUGGCGGGACCGGGAGUAUAAGCUCCGGCUCACUCUGUGCCAGCCGCCGGUGUAA
rnacentral:rRNA from 1 species